CUGUCUGCCUGUCUGUCUGUCUGUCCUGGCCCAGCGAGCGGACGCGCAGAGCGAGCGGCUGCGGCGGGAGCUGCGGGCGCUGCGGGACGAGCGCACGGAGCUGCUGCGGCGAGCCAGCGCCCUGCGCGGUGCCAACGACCGCCAGGCCGGCCACAUCCGCCACAUCCAAGAUAAAUUGCAAAAAGAACAAGAGCAGAAAGUAAUACUGGAGGCAACAAUCAGCCAUUUGCAGAACUUGAUUCACAACCAGAACAACCAACAGAAGAGCCAGGAGGUGACGGUGCAAAGGAAAGACCAGGUUUUCACCACACAGACCCCAUCUCUCAUUCCUGCCAAGGAAAAACAAAGUGCUCUGUCAGAGCACCCUGAGGAGGAGGAGAAG
rnacentral:lncRNA from 1 species